rnacentral:rRNA from 1 species
GAUGAACGCUGGCGGCGUGCCUAAUACAUGCAAGUCGAGCGAAUGGAUUAAGAGCUUGCUCUUAUGAAGUUAGCGGCGGACGGGUGAGUAACACGUGGGUAACCUGCCCAUAAGACUGGGAUAACUCCGGGAAACCGGGGCUAAUACCGGAUAACAUUUUGAACCGCAUGGUUCGAAAUUGAAAGGCGGCUUCGGCUGUCACUUAUGGAUGGACCCGCGUCGCAUUAGCUAGUUGGUGAGGUAACGGCUCACCAAGGGAACGAUGCGUAGCCGACCUGAGAGGGUGAUCGGCCACACUGGGACUGGGACACGGCCCAGACUCCUACGGGAGGCAGCAGUAGGGAAUCGUCCGCAAUGGACGAAAGUCUGACGGAGCAACGCCGCGUGAGUGAUGAAGGCUUUCGGGUCGUAAAACUCUGUUGUUAGGGAAGAACAAGUGCUAGUUGAAUAAGCUGACACCUUGACGGUACCUAACCAGAAAGCCACGGCUAACUACGUGCCAGCCGCCGCAGUAA